rnacentral:rRNA from 1 species
AUACGUAGGGAGCGAGCGUUGUCCGGAAUUACUGGGUGUAAAGGGAGCGUAGGCGGGAGUGCAAGUCAGAUGUGAAAUACAUGGGCUCAACCCAUGGGCUGCAUUUGAAACUGCAUUUCUUGAGUGAAGUAGAGGUAAGCGGAAUUCCUGGUGUAGCGGUGAACUGCGUAGAUAUCAGGAGGAACACCGGUGGCGAAGGCGGCUUACUGGGCUUUUACUGACGCUGAGGCUCGAAAGCGUGGGGAGCAAACAGGAUUAGAUACCCUGGUAGUCCACGCUGUAAACGAUGAUUACUAGGUGUGGGGGGACUGACCCCUUCCGUGCCGCAGUUAACACAAUAAGUAAUCCACCUGGGGAGUACGGCCGCAAGGUUGAAACUCAAAUGAAUUGACGGGG